GACAAUGCUAAUCCUUGGACUAAGAGAUUUGAUUUUACAGUGACCAUACAAACUAAAGUCUAUAUUCUUAUAAUGAUCCCAAAUAUGUUUUGAAUACUAAUAUGCUUUAGGCCUCCUCACUAUGAAGAACUUGCCCAGCAUAAGAUGCUCUCAUAGAUUUAUUUUUACCCUCUUAAAUUUAAAUAGCUAUCCAUAAAGGGGACUUCGAAACUAAGGAAUGUCAUAGCCAUAAGUUGAUUUGUCAUUCCAUUCUGCAAAAAGAGGGCAGGUUGGUAUUAUAUUUUGUCAACAAAAUUAUCAUUUGAAACGACAUCGUGUCGUAAAAGAAGGAAAAAUAAAUAAAUUACUCAGCUGUCCGAAACGCAGCCUAUGAGGAAAAGCUGAGGCUGAGAAGAUAAUCGUUGUCGUUUGCUGGCCAACAAUGGCUCUACGGCUUCUGAAGCUUCCCGACGACAUCAUCAUCUCGCGCAGUUCCAUUACCAACUCAACUUACUUUUCUUAUUCUCUUUCCUACUUUAAUAAGCUUUCCGGUGUGUAUCUCUGCCUUCUCUUUAUCUGUUUUAUAGUUUAUCGUACGUAACUCUGAAAAAGACUUGGUUAGGAAUUUUCACAAACACCUGUUGGGCUCCAGGGUUUCCAGGUAUUGAUGGAGUUGUGGAUAGAAAUUGGCCAAAUGCGGUUCAAAAUUGGAACCCCUUAUUCCUUAAUUUCAUGUCUUUCACAAAAAAUUUUGCUUUUUGCUCUAACAGUUUGAUUAUUUCUUGUUAUGUUUCUGUUUCCAGUGAGAUGGGUUGGAGCCCAGAAGCGUAGUCCCUGUCGAAGCUUUACCGUUGUGAAGUCGGCAAAAGUACAAGCAUCCAAGAAGAAAAGGAGGCUUGAUGAGAUAUGCGUGGAAAGGUUUCAACAAUAUAGCCGGACAUUAAUGCAGUCAUUGAUAUUACAAGAUCUAGUAAUGCAGGCAAAGUAUUUGUGGAUGGAAAGCUGGUCAACAAUGCUGGAACACCUAUCUCUGAUAAAGCUGUUGUAGAGAUGCUGGCUGAAAUCCCAAAAUAUGUAUAGCGGGACACAAGUUAGAAGCUGCCAUUGAAAAGUUGGACAUUGAUGUUUCUGGAAAUACAGCUCUUGAUUCAGGGUUUUCCACAGUUGGAUAUACUGACUGUUUGCUUCAAUAUGUUGCAUCAUUUGUUUAUGGAGUUGACGUAGGUUAUGCGCAGGUAAAACGCCUAUUACUUGAAUUAGGUUGUGUGCACAUUUAAACUUCAUCUUUUCCCGCGUAGAUGCUGCUUUUAUACAUGCACAGAUAGGUGGCAGACAAAAUUCGACGAGAUGAACGUGUCUGCGUUAUAGAACGGACAAAUUUAGGAUAUCUUUCUGCACUGCCUCAAAAAGUUGAUUUGGUGACUCUGGACCUUUCAUUCAUCUCUAUUCUUUUGGUAAGCCUUCAAAAAAUGGUAACUUUAUUGUUGCUAUCUGUUUUAUAGAUUUUAAUUUCUCCCUUCAUUUUUGCAAAGUCUCUGAAAAAUUGCAAGGAUUUUGUUUUUCUGCUUAGCCCAGGAUUGAACAUGGGACUUCAGAGGAAAUUUUAUGGUUAGAAUUAUAUAAUCCUCCUUUAGAUUCUUUAUAUUUGAAGCAUUCUUACUUCUUUGAUCGCAUUUUUGGUGUUAUAGAACUAUCCCCCUCCCUCCUCGCACCACAAAGAAAGAUUAAGAAAAACAGAAAAUGUUAGGAGACAUAAAGAUUUGGAAAACUUAUCAUUGUCGCUAUUAUCUAUUUGAAGCUUUUGCAACGCUGAUCAAACUUUCAUACCAUUCUCGUCUGUUAUGAUCUUUAUUUCUUUAUUUAUUUUUGAAUCAGGUCAUGCCUGCUGUAGUAAAAGUGAUGAAGGAUGAGGCAACAUUAAUUACUUUGGUUAAACCUCAAUUUGAAGCUCGCAGAUCACAGUUAAGAAGCUUACAAUUUAUUUAAGCAAAUUCUCUCGAGAAAUAUAGAGGGUUCCUUAACCUUCUACUGUUUUCCAACGAAGGAGGAAUGUUAGAAAGAUAGCAACUUAGUAUAGCUUACCCUUCUAUUAUUGUUUGGAUUAAGAUAACACUAAUAUGAGUUUUACACUUACUAUCCCCUUUAACUUUUACAUAUGUGUGGGAUAAGCAGUCACUUUCUUAUGUUUCAAGUGACUUAUAAUAUUCUUUGCAUGUGCUUAUGCAAUUCUGGUAUAAGGAAUCCUUACUAGAUGUGAUACUUUCAUAAAGGUUAGUGAGAUCUUAAUUGGUCUCUAUCUUGAAGUUUCUUCGAUCUCAACUUUUUGCAAUAACUUGUAUUACUUUUUUAAGGUACAAAAGAUUUAAAUGAUAUAUUACUUUUGUCUAUAAUGGGUUCUUCUGUAUGCAUGGUCAUAUUUUAGAAAUAAGUGAAAGGUCACCAUACUUCAUUACGUACAAGAGCAUUUAUGCAUAAAUUUAGCGUUCCAUUUUUGUUGUAGGUAGGUGGUGGUGGGAUUGUAAGAGAUCCACUGGUUCACCAAGAUGUUCUUGAAAAGAUUGUGAAGGGCGUAGAGAAUUUUGGAUUCUGCUGCAAAGGAUGGAUAGAGUCUCAUCUCAAGGGUGCGGAGGGUAAUAUAGAAUUCCUUGUUCAUUUUGUUAGGAAAGCUGAGCAAACUGCAGACUGAUUAUUAGUGUUAGCUAUGGGCAAAUCUAUUACAUUUCCAGGUAGACUUUGGACAUGAAAUUUUGGGUGAAGGGGACCCUACUAUGUGGUUAUGCACAAAUGCCCUUGGGUCUGGAUGUAUUUACUUGUAGAGUAAAUCAUGAAAUGGCUUUUUUUUCAUGGAGGCUUUAACGAAAUAGCAAUGCAGCAGGUAGAAUUGGUAAAAAAAGGUCCGGAACUCUUCAAUUUAACAAAGAAAUAUAGUAUUCAUUUCUAUUUAGUUUGUGAAAUAUUUAUUUCCCUUCCAAUAAGAUGUACUUUUUGGUGUGUU